AUCAAAAUCUUCAACAAUUAACCAUAACAUUUCAACACUCAAAGUCUCCAAUUAUCCCAGGUAAAAAAGAAAUAGUAGGCAAAGAAUGAAAGAAGUGGUGUUGAAGUAUUGAACCUAGACCAAAGGUGAAUCGCAGAAAGCACAAUCUUGCUACCCGGAGGUGAAUUGUAGAAGGAGAAGCAAAAUCUCCAGAGCCCAGAGGCGAAUCGCAGGAGCAUACUCAAAAGCUAGAGGCAAACCCAGAAAGUGAAGACCGAGAAAGCCAUGUCAAUGAUAAUGAAGCUUCGAGAUGAACCUAAGCGGCGGCAUCUCGUCUCUAGACUCUGGCUCUGCGUGACUUCGAAGGGAGUCCACUUCCACAGAGACAAUGGCUUGGCUUCCAGCGAGGAAGAGAGGAUCGGUCUCUAAGGGUCUCAUUGAUUCAUGAUGCAUGAGGACGGAAUAAAACACUCCUGUGGGCUCAAUGGGUGUGAAAGGAAAUGAUCAGGAUGGGGAGAGAGGUGAUGCGGCGCUGUUGUACUGAGUGAAAAAAUGAAGGUAGCGGUUUA
rnacentral:misc_RNA from 1 species